CAAUAGCGUAUAUUUAAGUUGUUGCAGUUAAAAAACUCGUAGUUGGAUUUCGGUUAAGAGCGACCGGUCCGCCGUUUGGUGUGCACUGGUUGGUUUUAACUUCCUGUAGAGGACGUGCUCUGGGUUUAACGACCUGGACUCGGAGUCUACGUGGUUACUUUGAAAAAAUUAGAGUGUUCAAAGCGGGCUUACGCUUGAAUAUUUCAGCAUGGAAUAACACUAUAGGACUCCUGUCCUAUUUCGUUGGUCUCGGGACGGGAGUAAUGAUUAAGAGGAACAGUUGGGGGCAUUCGUAUUUCAUUGUCAGAGGUGAAAUUCUUGGAUUUAUGAAAGACGAACUUCUGCGAAAGCAUUUGCCAAGGAUGUUUUCAUUAA
rnacentral:rRNA from 1 species